CUGCCAUCUCAAUUAUGCAAAGUCAAAUUCCAGAAUAUCCUGCUUCUUGGGAUUGUCCAAACCUACAAACAUUGUUGUUAAGAGAAAACUGCAAUUCGCAAUUGGCUAUGCUAGGAGGAGUCCUCAAAGGGAUGAAAACCCUUAAAGUUGUUGAUCAGAGAAGCAAUUUACCUUUUCCUUUUGAAGAAUCAAUUCCCCACAUCUCACUUGGU
rnacentral:misc_RNA from 1 species